UACGUAGGGUGCGAGCGUUGUCCGGAUUUAUUGGGCGUAAAGAGCUCGUAGGCGGUUUGUCGCGUCGGCCGUGAAAUCUCCACGCUUAACGUGGAGCGUGCGGUCGAUACGGGCAGACUUGAGUUCGGUAGGGGAGACUGGAAUUCCUGGUGUAGCGGUGAAAUGCGCAGAUAUCAGGUGGAACACCCGUAGCGAAGGCGGCACUCUGGGCCGGAACUGACGCUGAGGAGCGAAAGCGAGGGGAGCGAACAGG
rnacentral:rRNA from 1 species